rnacentral:rRNA from 1 species
GGUGAAUGCUAGCUACAGGCUUAACACAUGCAAGUCGAGGGGCAGCAUGGGCUUAGCUUGCUAAGCCCGAUGGCGGCCGGCGCGCGGGUGAGUAACACGUAUCCAACCCUCCGGCAACUCCGGUAUAGCCUUUCGAAAGAAAGAUUAAUCCCGGAUAGUAUGGUGAUUCCGCAUGGUUUCUCCAUUAAAGGAUUCCGGUUACCGAUGGGGAUGCGUUCCACUAGGCAGUUGGCGGGGUAACGGCCCACCAAACCUACGAUGGAUAGGGGUUCUGAGAGGAAGGUCCCCCACAUUGGAACUGAGACACGGUCCAA